ACUCAAAUGAAUUGACGGGGGCCCGCACAAGCGGUGGAGCAUGUGGUUUAAUUCGAUGCGACGCGAAGAACCUUACCCAGGUUUGACAUGUGCCGGACUGGUGUGGAAACACACCUUCCCUUCGGGGUCGGCACACAGGUGCUGCAUGGCUGUCGUCAGCUCGUGUCGUGAGAUGUUGGGUUAAGUCCCGCAACGAGCGCAACCCUUGUCCUUAGUUGCCAUCAAGUCAAGUUGGGCACUCUAAGGAGACUGCCGUCGAUAAGGCGGAGGAAGGUGGGGAUGACGUCAAGUCCUCAUGGUCCUUACACCUGGGGCUACACACGUGCUACAAUGGUCGGUACAAAGGGUUGCAAUACCGCGAGGUGGAGCCAAUCCCAAAAAACCGGCCUCAGUUCGGAUUGCAGUCUGCAACUCGACUGCAUGAAGGCGGAAUCGCUAGUAAUCGCUGAUCAGCAGGCAGCGGUGAAUAUGUUCCCGGGCCUUGUACACACCGCCCGU
rnacentral:rRNA from 1 species